AGAAUUAUUUGUUUUAUAGGCGUCAAAAUAAUACAAAAUAACAUAUUAAUAUAACAUGAUAAUAUAAUAACAAAAUAAUACAUUUGUUUUGAAGUAAAUGUAUGAUUUUAUGAAUGAACCAUGGAGUGCAUAGCCUUUGAGUCUAGUGAGGCUCAAAGUGAGGUGAAGUGAUAGUGAAUAGAAAGCCUGAAUCUUUUUGAUACAACUCACAGCCUGUGCAAGAAAGUUUUUAUCUCACUCUCGUUUUAAGUUCAUUUUUCAUUCUGCAGUCAGUGCACCAGGAAUGUCCAUUUAAGUGACUUGCAUGAGAGUAUUUCAGAUCUCAGAUCACAAAUAUCUGAAUUUCACUUAGGGAAUUGUUGUAAAUGUACCUUGACUCUCCCUGUCUGGAAUUGCGAUCAUUAACUUUAGUGUAACGGGUCACUUGCUUCAAUGGUUUUUUUUUAUCACAGAGAUCAUCAAACUCAGAAGCCCUGACUCAGUAAGCUCUCAGUGCCACACGCACACAACCAUGUCCUGCAAAAUCACCUCCCAGGACGAGCCCUCCAUCAGCAUGUUUGCCUGGAUCAGCCCUGGUAGGGCGACUCUGUGUGAGCUAGACGAGAAUGGGGGAGUCGUUGUCAGCGACAGCGCAGUGAGCUGCACAUACAGAGACAAACAACUGGACCUGACCAUCCGUCACACCAAACCGAUCCACGAGGGACGGUAUAUUUGCAAGCUGCGCUCCAAUUUAGGAGGAAAGCAUUCCUACACGCAACUGAAACUACAAGAGUGCCACAACCAGCUCCAUUACCACAUUCUUGAUGGCAAUGUGACCUGCGGGGCGAGAGGAGUUUACCCAGAGGCCCACAUCCACUGGUUCCAGGGACCCCAGAACCUCACCCACUCCUCAGUCUCCCAUCCCAGCAUACCGGCUGAGGAUGGCACCUUUGAGGUAGCCAGCACCCUUCCCCACCAACACCAGUCGGCUUUGAACUGUUCCCUGUGGUCCCCCAGCACUGGCAGGUUGCUCAGCAGCAUACAGAUGUCUCCACCGGCGUCCCCUCCACAGUCACGAGACACAUUCUCCAGGGCAACAUCUUUUGGAGCUGUUGGGACAACCGUGACACUUUUUGCAGUAGCACUCAUUCUAUUGUAA
rnacentral:lncRNA from 1 species